rnacentral:rRNA from 1 species
GGGUCAGUAGGUUGGUCGUGCCACCGGUACGUACUGGUCUCACUGAUUCCUCCUUCCUGAAGAACCGUAAUGCCAUUAAUUUGGUGUUGCGAGGAAACAGGACUGUUACUUUGAAAAAAUUAGAGUGUUUAAAGCAAGCUAACGCUUGAAUACAUUAGCAUGGAAUAAUGAAAUAGGACGAUCGAUCCUAUUUUGUUGGUUUCUAGGAUUGACGCA